GACGAACGCUGGCGGCGUGCUUAACACGUGCAAGUCGAACGGAAAGGCCCUGCUUUUGUGGGGUGCUCGAGUGGCGAAGGGGUGAGUAACACGUGAGUAACCCGCCCUUGACUGUGGGAUAACUUUAGGAAACUCGGGCUAAUACCGGAGAUGAUCUCCUGCUGCAUGUGGGGGGAUAGAAAGUUUCGGCGGUUGGGGCUGGACUCGCUGCUUAUCCGCUUGAUUGUGGGGUAGUGGCUUACCAAGGUUUUGACGGGUAGCCGGCCUGAGAGGGUGACCAGCCACAAUGGGCCUAAGAUACGGCGCAGAAGCCUACGGGAGGCAGAGGUGGGAAAUAUUGCAGAAUGGGCGGAAGCCAGAUGCAGCAACGCCGCGAGCGGGAUGACGGCUUUCGGGUUGUAAACCGCUUUCGCAUGAGACGAAGCGUGAGUGACGGUAAUGGGUAAAGAAGCACCGGCUAACUACGUG
rnacentral:rRNA from 1 species